CAAUGAUUGGUCGACGUCAGUUAGGCAUGAUACAUCAGAGGUUGUGCCAGGCACGUCCUGACCAUGCUAUGGAGCCUUUCAAUGGUCUGUCCUUGAUACUGGUCAGAGACUUUGGACAGUUGCCUCCGGUGGGAGACACUCCACUCUAUGUCGCAGAUGGCAUCCUGACAAAACUAGACCUCUGCUUACUGCUUCAGCAAGCACGCCAUUAACAAGUGGACUGUUCCUGAAUCUAGUGACCUACGAGUUAACACUCCCGCCAAAAUUAAAAGGCUAUUUUGUGCACUACGUCCACCAUUCAGAAAGCACAAACCUGAGGACACUGCUGCAGUUCUGCACAGGCUGCAGCGAGAUUCCAGUGAUGGCAUUUCAUCAACCAGACACAAUCGCAGUGUCCAGCACAUUCAUGUUUUCCAAUACAGCAACAUGUGCUAUGAUUCUAGAGCUGCCAAGACAAGUUACCAACCAAGAAGAGUUUACGGCAAAUAUGAAUGCUGUUUUAGAUAUGCAGGAAAAUGGCUUUGGAGUAGUCUAGUAAAUUUGCAUUUUUCUGUUGCUUUCUUUGAACUAGUUGCAUGCUAGUUUAAAACAUUUACACAAUUAAGUUGUGUAGAUCAUCUAACCUUUUGUUAAUGUAACACUCCAUGUUGCA